UCAGCACACUAACCCCGUGUCCCAGCACGCUAACCCCGUGCCUCAAUCAGCUCCACUAGUUCAGUAGUCAGGCACUGACCAGGGAGUCAGCCAUUUUAAGCGCCGUCUCAACUGCAAAAUCUUUCUUGAACGUCCACUCCCUGAAAAAAAAUCCCACAAUGCAUUGCAAAAAACCAGGGAGCAUCGAUGCUCACUACGUUCCCUUACUGGAAGUGAUGCCCUGUUUCCUGAAGCCUCUCAGCACGAAAAGAAAAAUAAAUAAAUAAAUAAAUAAAAAGGAGGACGAACCGUCAGCCAACUUUUGACUACAAAUGUAAGUAGCUUGUCAUUGUAGCUCUCAAAUGAUUACUUACCUAAGGGAUUUUUUGCUUUAUAUGACCUUCCACAUAUGACGACCUCAACUAAAAGCCACCAAGUCAUUGAUGGAUGUUUCGGUGAUGAGCUUUGGCAUUCUCUCUUUGCACCCCAAGUAGACAUAACGUGACUGCGAGUCUUACGCCAGCAGGAGAUCAUAUAUAUAUAUAUUCGCUUUACACCGGACUUUAUUCGGCGCAGAUUCGUCAGUGUCUACGCACACCUGCGUGUUCCUGAUUUGGAAAAGUCAUCCAUGCACUCUAUAUAAUCUGCAUAAUAAAAAUCUUUCUACUCGCAGCUGUGUGUAUUCGGCACGCGGUGAGAUUCAGAAGCACAUACUACAGUUACAGCAUGGAGGUGCGUCACGCUGUCGGGCGUGUUACAUUAAACGUUCACACUGUGUAUUAUCUUUCUCUGCUUGCUGAACCUACAUGCUCAUCCACUGGGUAAUCACGAAUAAAGAAAAAACACUUCUAGCUGGACGCAAAAAUGAAACGUUUCUCCUCCGAGUGUCUGGGCUACUGCCAUGUCCCUUCCUCUCAAACUAAAUUACAUCAACAAACUCCACUUAAAGCAGUAAAGCCUUUAGGACGCAAGCGGAGCCGCAAGUCAGAUUGGACAUGGUGUGGUCUUAGUCAGCAGGGUGUCAGCGGACGGUGUGGCGAGGCGAGGUCAGCAGGACGCCCAACUCGCAGCCAUGAUGCGUCAGAGGACAAGCAGCGUCAUCGGGCUGAAGUUCACCGCAGUGAGAAAGAGCGAGAGCGAGAGAGAAGAAUUAGGACACGUGAGAGCUUGCCAAGUCCGCACACCACUUCUCUGCUCCUCGCUCCAAAACAGUAGCCACAAGCUAUAAUCAACAUCCGUGCGUGUGUGUGUGUCCGUGUCCCCCAGACGAGUGGAGAUGCCUUGUUUAUAUUUCCAUCAGCCGGCCCCAGCCCAAAUCCAGAUGCUCUUAAGAUAAUAAACAAGUCCUCUUUGUCUUCAAAAGGUUAAAAAGAUAAAAACCCAAUCCAAGUGCAGCAGAAGAUAAACACACACGCACCCCUCAGUGACCUUUGAAGUCUGGAGCAGAUCACUGACGAAGGUGAUCCUUUAACGCUCAGACUAAUUCAGCAUCUACAUCAGAUAGCGAGAGCUCGGAAGUGAAUGAUGUGAGGGAACCUGCAUGAACCCGGCGAGAGGGAGGGAAAGAAUGAAAGAGGGACGCGGAUGGAUGUGCGCAUGUGAUGUACUGCUUUGGAUGUACUGCUGUGAUAAAGCCUCCUCUUACUCCUUUCGCUCUCCCUCCUGCUCUAGCUGUCAGUGUGCUCUGCAGAAGCAGCACCGCUGCCAUCACCAGGCUCCAUCAUGUGUCCACAGGGACGCUGAAAAUCAGAUAAACGACUCGAACUAGAUAAAUCUCCGCGACGGCAAACUGAAAUGAAACGCUGCUGCAUAUUUGCCUUUAACACAAAUUGACCAAGGGCUUGAGACCACCCAAUAGUGCAACACAGCAAAUACAUAAUGAAUACCUGAAGCAUGUAGGAGCGAGUGAUCGGAAGAGACGUUAUCACCUUAUGAGAAACAUUACGGCACUGAAUUAGGUCACAAAACGUUCCUGAGGAGUAUAGUGGCUAUAGCCAGCACUUUAAUGACACUGGCUAGCUGAAAUGCUACUCACGAUAACAAGUAGCUGCCUGGACAACCUUUUCAAACCCAUAUCAAACCCAUAGACUCAGGUUUUUUUGUCGAGGCGCGUCCCACUUGGGUCGCAUGUUGAGAAUCUCUUACUCAACUUAGACUUCACUUGUGAUUCAACUCAAGACUGACUUGGGACUUGACUCAGACUCGGGAUGGAGACUUCUGAAAUUUCAGCCUUGAUAAAAACAUGAACAAAUGGUAAAUGGCGCACUUCUAUAGCGCUUUUACCCAAAGCGCUUUACACUGUGUCUCAUUCACCCACUCACACCCAAUGGUAGCAGAGCUGCCACGCAAGGCGCUAACUCGCCAUCGGGAGCAACUUGGGGUUCGGCGUCUCGCCCAAGGACACUUCGGCAUGUGGAGUCACGUGGGCCGGGAAUCGAACCGCCGACCCUACGAUCAGUGGACGACCCGCUCUACCACCUGAGUCACAGCGGCCCUGGGUGUGGCUAAUAAAUGUCUAAUAAAUAAAUAAAAGGACUGCCAAAAUUACAAAGGAAAAGAAUAGCACUGUUCUGCGUCAUGCCAUCUGUGUGCAGCUCACGGCAGUGAAUCAUAAAAACCAGAAAGAAAAAGCACUGCAGUGUUGAAGAUAUCUACAGAUAUUUUAGAUAUAUUAGAAAUUAUAUAGCAGUGUUCUUCAGCUUACAAUCCGAUUCAUGGCUAAAAGACUUGAGACUCUGAGCUCCGAGGCCCGCGACUCGACUCGGCCGCCGGCUCAGAGACUUUGCUCGGCUCAGAAUCUUGAGACUUGACUCAAGUGAAUUGACUCAAAAAAAAAAGUGAAUUCUGAACAUUUCGGUAUAACGAUCAUUUUAUCAUCACAUCGUCGCCGUGAUACAAUGUUUCUGCAGUACUGUCACUCAUAAAAGGUCAAUUGUUGCAAGGGAAUUUAAAUUUCUUAAUCAAAUGACUUUGACUUAUAAGUAAUUGUUCCAACACACAUGCUCCACACACGCACACACGCCCCCAGAACAUCAUCAUCAUCAUGCAGACUACCUAAAAGUAAUUAGGCUCUUUUUUUAAUUUCUGCAGAAUUAAAUGAACAAGGCAAAACAUACAUUGGAUAUUACUGUGAAAUAAUGAAAGUGUAGUAGCUAAAUAAAGUUAUCCCGUAAACACACGUGCACAUAGACACAGAGUACAAAAGAGGACGUUAUUACAGGAAUGAGAACUCUAACCAGAAAGAAAUUCAAGCUUUUAACAUAAACUCACCUCUUCAAUUAGUAACAGCUCUGCGAUUUCUCUCUUUUCUACACACACACAUACCUUGGACUGCCCAGCACUGUGGCAAUAUUCCAGAUGUAAUAGCUAAAACCAGAUGUGAUGCUGCAUCAUUCACUUCUUCGAAUCGGAUUUAAAGCUACAGUCCAUGAAGGAUUUUUUUUUUUUUUUUUUUGGAGGGGAGGGGAGGGGUCAUUAUUGAGUCAGGGGGAAAAUACUGCGUUCCCACUCCGAGCUGGUGCACGUCACUCUGGGAAUCCUGCACUAGUAAUUCAGAAUAAAUCACAGUCUGAGCUGUCAGUUUCAAAAUGUCAGGUUCGAAUUAAACGUACAUGCCACACGCCAGUUUAAAAGAAAUACGGCCAAAGACCCGCCCACAGUUUUUCCCCAUAUACUGAAGCUUUCCCCUUCCGGCCUUACACAGUGUUCAACAGUACAAAAUGACACCAUUUUUGUACCUUUGCCUCUGUACGCCACCACGGAGAAUUUGAAAAUGAAUCAAUCAAGAUUGGCGUGAUUGGAGUGUAGACUUUCAACUUUAAUUCAAGGGGUUGAACAAAAAUAUUACAUGAACCGUUCGGGAAUCACAGCCACGGAGUCCCUAUCAUUUCCACGGGCUCAAACGUAAGUGGACAAUUGACCGAUGAGCGGUUUCGUGGCCAGGUGUGGCCCGUUUCCUCACUAUAUCAUGACAAAUUGAGGAGAUUAAAAAGGUCUGUAGUUGAUGCCGAUCGUUGAAUUCGCAUGUGGUAGCAUGUGGUUCAUGGGAAUUCUCAAUAAGGGAGGUGUCGAUGCAAGUGAAGGAGGCCAACAUUAGGCUGAAAAAACAAAAAACAGACCUAGCAGAGACAUAGCAGAAUCUUUAGCAGGGGCCAAAUCAACAAUUUGCUUUUAAACAAAAAAAAAACUGAUCCAUUGGUGUUGAUUGAUGACGCGACUGCUGAUAGAACUAGCAGGACGAAUUCUGAAGCGUACAGAACUAUGGGUUCUCAGAUUCGGUUAAAUGCUCCAAAACCGAUAGGACGGCGCUUCACAGUACAGAUGGAUAAUGACCCACGAAAGCAACCCUAGAGCUUCUUAAGGCAAAGAAAUUAAAAUUGUUCGUAAAUGUCUGAUGACCCUGACCCUAUUGAGCAUGCUUUUCACUUCCUGAAGACAAAACGGAAGGCAGAAAGACCAACAAACGAGCAGCAACUGAAGACCGCUGCAGUAAAGACCUGAGCAGUUGAGGGAUAAGGGGCCUUGCUCAAGGGCCCAACAAUGGCGUCUUGGCGUUUCAGAGGUUUGAACUCGCGACCUUCUGAGCAGUAGUCCCAACAACUUAACCACUGAGCUACCACCGCAUGAAACAAGUUGCAUUGCACCACACCACCAUGAAGUUUAAAGAUGCAAAGGUUUGUUUGUUUUUUUUAUGUCUUUCUUUGGUUGCUGAACCUACCACUCCACCAGGCAACUACGAAACUACAAAACAUGCCAAGAUAAAGCUAUUUAACCCGAGCACCCAGGCUACUACCAAGGCCCAAAUCUUCUAGUUUAGGCUCAGGUCUCAUAUAAAACCGUUUUGUUUUUUUAAUGUAAGAGAGUACCAAACCAUCAAUCACUCAGCUAUGAACAACCAGCAGGGUCACAAAUCCUAGACUUAAGUCUGACACACCCUCCAGAGUUCAUUUCUUCCUCUGCUAGCCUUUAAUUGUGCCCAGCACGCAGCCAUUGUGGGCUGCUAUUCUGAAGGUCAUGGUGAAGAAGUCUCGGAGUCACUUGCCUUCCACUUUCCUGCUGCCGCGUACAGACCAGCGGGGAUCAAGGCUUGUGCCAUUACCACUUCAUUAAAAAAUCAUGGUGGUACUUAAGAGACCUCUGUCUCUGUGUUUAACAGGAGAGAUUUAAAGCCGGCAUGAGAUGGCCUUCACUUAAAGACUACGUGAGGAAUUUAAACAUCAGACAGGAAGACUGCGUUUAUAUAUGUUUUAGGUGAAGCGAGACCAAGCUGUUCUUUGCCUGAGCAUGGCUGUGAGGCUGGAUUUUAUUCUCCUUGCUCUCACCAGGGCUUCUACGGCGAUGGAGAUAUAAAAAUUAAAUAAAUAAAAAAGCAAACAUUUUUAACGAGACACUUCUCUCAUACUCAAGCUAUUCAACAGGUCUUUUUUUUUAUAGGGAAAAAGGACUGCAGAAGAUUAAGGGUAUUUGGAUAACCAAAUAAGGGUAUGAACAUAAAUAGAGGCAGGCGAGAAAGCAUGUACAGGAGAGAAUGAAUAAAUUGUAGCCCACGUCUAGUUUUAAACCCAUCAGAACCUGGGUGCCUCCAAUUAAAAGUACGAUCACAGAAACCCUCACAGAUUAAGAGGUGUACGAUCUGAGCAGAGUGAUCUCCACUAACGUGACCCUGCUAGAAGCUCGGAAAAACACCUAGAAAGAUUGGUGGUGGCGCUAACCAUGAGUGAGCGUCAUCGUGAGGUCUCAAUGGAGGGAAUUGUCAGUGUUGAGAACAUGUAAGACACUAGACAAGAAAGAAGACGGGGGGAUGAUGAGAAUUAAGGAAAGGAGGUGAGAGUCUCUGGCGCACACACACGCACACAAAUACAUACAAACACAUACGUAUAUACAUGCACACUAGGAGUGGGUUGAAGACAUUUCUCAGAUACGUGAUGUGUGUCAAAUUAACCGCAAAAUUGGUCGUCUGUGGCUCAGGUGGUACAGCGCUUAGAUUAGUGUCCACUAAUCGUAGGGUUGGCGGUUUGAUUCCCGGCCCACGUGACUCCAUACACACCGAAGUAUCCUUGGGUAAGACACUGAACCCCAAGUUGCUCCCCAUGGCAAGCUAGCGCCUUGCGUGGCAGCUCUGCAGCCAUUGCUGUGCGAGUGUGUGUGUGUGAAUGAGAAACAUCUCCAAAUGAAGCCAUAACACUCUUUUGUCAGGCACUCUGCUCUCUGUUAUA
ensembl:lncRNA